GCCCAGUGAGCAGAAUAAUAUAACAUUCAAUUUAUUUUUCAUGCUUUCAUGAAAUGCAACAUAUCACAAACAAUUCACAUCAAGGAUGAACUUGUCACCAAUAGCCCACUACUGAAUCCAAUAGUGCCAGGGGCAUAGUGCAGGCCACAUCUGGUCUUUCUCUUAUACAUAACAUAUCAUAACAUAUCCAAUCAUGCCGGGGGCGUAGUGCAGGCCACUUCCGGUCUUUCUCUUACAUAGUGCCAGGGACGUAGUGCAGGCCACAUCUGGUCUUUCCACAUCAUAUCAUAACGUAGUGCGGCUAAAGGAUCAUCCAACAUUCAUCCACAUCAACAACAUAUUAUGCAAUGCAACAUAUUCGUGAUUUCUAAUGCAAACAACCUAAAAUAUCACAUGGCA
rnacentral:lncRNA from 1 species